rnacentral:lncRNA from 1 species
AAACAGGUAAGUGCAUGCUUUAACUUUUACGUUGCAUUUGACGUCCAGAAUUAUUUGAAGGUUAUUUGUUUUAAACAGUUUUUAUGCAUAUGAUUAUAUAUAUGAAUAUUAUUAAAAAGAAAACUUGGUGACUAAAACUGAACAUGACCUGUUAAAGAACGGUAGAGUUAAGAAAAGGGGGGAACAGCGCAAACGCUAAAACGUUACAAUAUUUUAUUUUUUAUUAUAGAAUACAUGUAACAACCCCUUCAGAAUCCAGGAAACGCCCCUAAAGGUAAGAAUAGAUUUGAACUGUGUAGUUCUGAGGUAGUUAAUGCACACCUUAGCUGUGCAUUAUACAGACUAUAGCACAGUAAGAACAAAGAUAUUUUACCCGUGUCAUGUGCUAAUGGUGAAAUAAAGACUGCAAUACAAAUAAAGGAUUCGCAAAUGAUCAUGACUUUUGAUUGAAGUAAAAUGAUCAAACCCCACAAUCCAUCAAUCAACCAACCAAUCAAUCAAUCAAAUAAAGAAUGUGUCAAAGGGACAACAACCCAACCAAAGAGCAGAAAACAGAAAACAGUCGAAGGCCACCGAUGGGUCUUCAAAAUAACAAAAAUAUUCCC